rnacentral:rRNA from 1 species
AAUCAACGCUGGCGGCGUGCCUCAGACAUACAAGUCGAACGAUUAAAGCUCUCUUCGGAGAGUGCAUAAAGUGGCGCACGGGUGAGUAACACGUAAGUAAUCUACCUUCGAGUGGGGAAUAACGUCCGGAAACGGACGCUAAUACCGCAUAAUGCAGCGGCACCUAAUGGUGACAGUUGUUAAAGAAUUUAUUCGCUUGAAGAGGAGCUUGCGGCAGAUUAGCUAGUUGGUAAGGUAAUGGCUUACCAAGGCUUCGAUCUGUAACCGGUCUAAGAGGACGGUCGGUCACACUGCCACUGAAUAACGGGUCAGACUCCUACGGGAGGCAGCAGUCGGGAAUUUUGGGCAAUGGGCGAAAGCCUGACCCAGCAACGCCGCGUGAAGGAUGAAGUAUUUCGGUAUGUAAACUUCGAAAGAAUGGGAAGAAUCAAUGACGGUACCAUUUAUAAGGUCCGGCUAACUACGUGCCAGCAGCCGCCGUAACAC